AUAGGGAGAAAAACAAACUGAGCCGACAAAAGAAAAAAAAGAAAGGAAAAGGAAAGUGCGAAAGUUGUUUCGAAGGAGUUCAAGAGACUAACCGAUAAUCGAAUCCAUGUGUUGAUUUGGGACUGUAUCAUGAGGUCUUGAUUGAUUUGUCAAUUUCUAUGUGUGUUGAUGUGAGGUUCUAUCUCAGAGGUAAGGAAUUUUUAGUUCUUUUUUUUCAUCAAGUUUUGGGACACGUCAUCUCUGAAUUCUUAUUUUGCAGAUUAAAUUAAGGAAAUAGGUUGGUUAAAGUUUUUGAUCUUUAGAAUCAAUGAUUUUGUUUUUGUUUUUUUUUAGUCUUUUGUUAAGUCUAUGUGAAAAUUCUAUCAAUGAAGAACACAAUCAGCUCUAAAUUUGUGAAUUGUGACUUUGACUUUGGCUUUUGCAAGCAAAUGAUGUGUUCAGCAUCAGUCUCUUGGAUUGGUGAGAAUCCAAAAAAAAGUUUGGUUUAAUUUAUUUCGUGACUAUGGAAAGAAGCAAAGGUCCUUACAUAACUAUCACCAUCGUCGAUAAGGUUUCGGUGAUAAAAGUUGUUGAACCGGAUAUGCGGGUCUGCAGUCAAUGCUCCUAAAAUUCAGAAGAUCCGAGUACUCCCCAAAUCGGGUCAUAGAUCCGCGUCCUUUUUUUUUUUU